AGGCAAUUAACUCAAUCAAAAAUAAAUUAAUAAACGUCACACUCGAAAGAAACACAGACAUAAUGUAGGUUCCGAUGUUUGUGCAUUAUGCAUUUCUGCAAACUAUGCAAGCAGUACGGCCUUAAGAUUAGAUCAGAGAACCUGGCAACUGGACAGGAAAGUCGAAUUUUGGCAAGAAGUCCAUUGUUGCAACAGAAUUUUGGAAAUCAGCUAAAACUUACAAAAACAGUGUAAGGUUUUUUUCUUUUGCUUUAAGGAUUACAACUCAUAUUGCUCUUGGACUAGUAUUCAAUAAUAAAUCAGUCAUUUAAUAGAUUAUUACACUGCCAUUUC